AUGUCAUCGCUGGUGAAGGAAGACUUGGAGAAAAAACUGUUUAAGCCGCUGGCGCAGAAUCUCUGCGAGUUUAUUGAGAUCGAGGUCUCUGUCCAGGACAGGUAUUUCCUCUGUGUGUCAGUGACCAAAACUGAUGAAGUAAAAAUCACCAUGGUGAAGCACUACAGAGUAGGGCUGGAUGAGAAGUAUGAAGUAACAAAAAGGUGGUCCUUGAGUGAUCUGCGGAUGAUUGACGGAAAAGAAGCAGAUACCGACAAUCCAUUUUUUGAUCUGCACUUCAAGAAAGUCUACAGCUUGGAGGCCUACAGCUGUGCCUCUAAGUACUCCUUUGCUCGGACAGUGAGCAGGCUGAACCACGUGUAUCUUAAGAAGGAUUUACACAUGGUCAACUUUGAUUCUACUUACAUUAACGAUGACUCCAUUUGGUCCUCCAACAACAAGGACUGCCUGGUCCUCAUGAGAAUAUGCUUUUACGCUUUCAAUCUUGUGUGCUUGUCCUUGUGUCCCCUGCCACUUUGA
rnacentral:lncRNA from 1 species